rnacentral:rRNA from 1 species
UGCAAGUCGAACGCUUCUUUUUCCACCGGAGCUUGCUCCACCGGAAAAAGAGGAGUGGCGAACGGGUGAGUAACACGUGGGUAACCUGCCCAUCAGAAGGGGAUAACACUUGGAAACAGGUGCUAAUACCGUAUAACAAUCAAAACCGCAUGGUUUUGAUUUGAAAGGCGCUUUCGGGUGUCGCUGAUGGAUGGACCCGCGGUGCAUUAGCUAGUUGGUGAGGUAACGGCUCACCAAGGCCACGAUGCAUAGCCGACCUGAGAGGGUGAUCGGCCACAUUGGGACUGAGACACGGCCCAAACUCCUACGGGAGGCAGCAGUAGGGAAUCUUCGGCAAUGGACGAAAGUCUGACCGAGCAACGCCGCGUGAGUGAAGAAGGUUUUCGGAUCGUAAAACUCUGUUGUUAGAGAAGAACAAGGAUGAGAGUAACUGUUCAUCCCUUGACGGUAUCUAACCAGAAAGCCACGGCUAACUACGUGC